GACGAACGCUGGCGGCGUGCUUAACACAUGCAAGUCGAACGGAAAGGCCUCUUUCGGGGGGUACUCGAGUGGUGAACGGGUGAGUAACACGUGAGUAACCUGCCCUUGACUUUGGGAUAACUUCAGGAAACUGGGGCUAUUACCGGAUAGGAGCUCCUGCUGCAUGGUGGGGGUUGGAAAGUUUCGGCGGUUGGGGAUGGACUCGCGGCUUAUCACCUUUUUGGUGGGGUAGUGGCUUACCAAGGCUUUGACGGGUAGCCGGCCUGGGAGGGUGACCGGCCACAUUGGGGCUGGGAUACGGCCCAGGCCCCUACGGGAGGCAGCAGUGGGGAAUAUUUCACAAUGGGUGGGAGCCUGAUGCAGCAACGGCGGGGGCGGGAUGGCGGGCUUCGGGUUGUAAACCGCUUUCGCUCAUGACGAAGCUGUGUGUGACGGUAGUGGGUAAAGAAGCACCGGCUAACUACGUG
rnacentral:rRNA from 1 species